ACUCCUACGGGAGGCAGCAGUAGGGAAUCUUCCACAAUGGGCGCAAGCCUGAUGGAGCAACACCGCGUGAGUGAAGAAGGGUUUCGGCUCGUAAAGCUCUGUUGUUAAAGAAGAACACGUAUGAGAGUAACUGUUCAUACGUUGACGGUAUUUAACCAGAAAGUCACGGCUAACUACGUGCCAGCAGCCGCGGUAAUACGUAGGUGGCAAGCGUUAUCCGGAUUUAUUGGGGCGUAAAGAGAGUGCAGGCGGUUUUCUAAGUCUGAUGUGAAAGCCUUCGGCUUAACCGGAGAAGUGCAUCGGAAACUGGAUAACUUGAGUGCAGAAGAGGGUAGUGGAACUCCAUGUGUAGCGGUGGAAUGCGUAGAUAUAUGGAAGAACACCAGUGGCGAAGGCGGCUACCUGGUCUGCAACUGACGCUGAGACUCGAAAGCAUGGGUAGCGAACAGGAUUAGAUACCCUGGUAGGAUACCG
rnacentral:rRNA from 1 species